CAUCUCUUGUAAUUUGAUGAUUAGAGAUGUAUUAAGGAUGUUUAAAUGAAAGAAUGUAAAAGCUUAAGUUUUUGGAUCAAAACAUGUUAUGUAAUUUUGGGAGAUCAUGUGAUGAAUAAAAGAAAUGAUGAAAAGAAUGUAAAUGUAACAUGUGGUUUAAUGCAUGUAAGUGAUUGAAAGUUAAUCAUUAUACUUGUAUAUUGUUUAGUUUAGUA
rnacentral:lncRNA from 1 species